rnacentral:rRNA from 1 species
UACGUAGGGGGCAAGCGUUGUCCGGAAUCAUUGGGCGUAAAGAGCGUGUAGGCGGCCAGAUAAGUCCGCUGUGAAAUCUCGAGGCUCAACUUCGAGCUGUCGGUGGAAACUGUCUGGCUAGAGUCCGGUAGGGAGUGUGGAAUUCCCGGUGUAGCGGUGAAAUGCGCAGAUAUCGGGAGGAACACCAGUAGCGAAGGCGGCACUCUGGGCCGGAACUGACGCUGAGGAGCGAAAGCGUGGGAGCGAACAGG